rnacentral:rRNA from 1 species
UACAGAGGGGGCAAGCGUUGUUCGGAAUUACUGGGCGUAAAGGGCGCGUAGGCGGCCUUCUAAGUCGAACGUGAAAUCCCCGGGCUCAACCCGGGAACUGCGUCCGAUACUGGAAGGCUUGAAUCCGGGAGAGGGAUGCGGAAUUCCAGGUGUAGCGGUGAAAUGCGUAGAUAUCGGGAGGAAUACCAGUGGCGAAGGCGGCCUUCUGGACGGAUACUGACGCUGAGGCGCGAAAGCCAGGGGAGCAAACGGG